rnacentral:ribozyme from 11 species
CAUUCAUUCUUACUCCUUCCUCCCUUUACCUCAUUCCUCCAUUUUGUAUGCAUGGAAUGCGACAUACCACAGCAUGGAAUGGAUAAGUGAGUGAAUGUUAUGUUCUUUUUGAAGAGUGAAUGUGGUUUGUAAGGAAAGAAU